rnacentral:rRNA from 1 species
UUGUAAACUGCUUUUAUACAGGAAUAAAAAACUCUUGCGAGAGUAAUUGAAUGUACUGUAAGAAUAAGUACCGGCUAACUCCGUGCCAGCAGCCGCGGUAAUACGGAGGGUGCAAGCGUUAUCCGGAUUUAUUAGGUUUAAAGGGUGCGUAGGCGGGCUUUCAAGUUAGUGGUAAAAGCCUGACGCUCAACGUCAGAAUUGCCAUUAAUACUGAUAGUCUUGAGUAAAUGAGAAGUAAGCAGAAUAAAUGGUGUAGCAGUGAAAUGCGUAGAUAUCGUUUGGAAUCUCAACAGCGAAGGCAGCUUACUAGCUUCUUACUGACGCUGAGGCACGAAAGCAUAGGGAGCAAACAGGAUUAGAUACCCUGGUAGUCUAUGCUGUAAACGAUGAUCACUAGGUGUACACUGUAAUAGUGUGUGCCCAAGCGAAAGCGUUAAGUGAUCCACCUGGGGAGUACGCUCGCAAGGGUGAAACUC